GACGUAGGGUGCGAGCGUUGUCCGGAUUUAUUGGGCGUAAAGAGCUCGUAGGCGGCUCGUCGCGUCAGCUGUGAAAUCCCGUGGCUUAACUGCGGGCUUGCAGCUGAUACGGGCGGGCUAGAGUUCGGUAGGGGAGACUGGAAUUCCUGGUGUAGCGGUGAAAUGCGCAGAUAUCAGGAGGAACACCGGUGGCGAAGGCGGGUCUCUGGGCCACUACUGACGCUGAGAAGCGAAAACAUGGGGAGCGAACAGG
rnacentral:rRNA from 1 species